AAUCUUCAGACGAGCUUCCACAUCAGGCAAAUUCUAGACGGACUUCUCUGACAAUCGGAUUUUUACCAAACUUCACCAACUGAAAGUCUCCGUCCGAGCUUCUACAGCAGAUGACUCCCGCUUGUAGCAUCAGUACCCAAGGCAUCCGACAAUAGUGGACUCAUCAGUAACCUCAAAAACAUCCGAGCUUCUCCUGGAUUGCUGAGACAGAGAGAGCUAUUUCACUCCAUCAGAUGUCCUAGCCGAGCUUCAGCAGUCAGGCCUGAACUCUCUGGCAAGUCACGACAAUGGCCACUAUCCUUCACUCUCUGUAACGGAUUUCGCAUGGCUCCAGCACUCUCUGGCAAGUCACAACAAUGGACACCACUCCACUCUCCAUUACAAACUCCACGUGGCCCUGAACGGCCCCCUGACGCCACUACUCUCCGUAACAAACUCCACGUGGCCCCGAACGGCCUAAU
rnacentral:lncRNA from 1 species